AGCGAACGCUGGCGGCAGGCCUAACACAUGCAAGUCGAACGGAUCCUUCGGGAUUAGUGGCGGACGGGUGAGUAACACGUGGGAACGUGCCCUUUGGUUCGGAACAACUCAGGGAAACUUGAGCUAAUACCGGAUGUGCCCUUCGGGGGAAAGAUUUAUCGCCAUUGGAGCGGCCCGCGUCUGAUUAGCUAGUUGGUGAGGUAACGGCCCACCAAGGCGACGAUCAGUAGCUGGUCUGAGAGGAUGAUCAGCCACACUGGGACUGAGACACGGCCCAGACUCCUACGGGAGGCAGCAGUGGGGAAUCCUGCGCAAUGGGCGAAAGCCUGACGCAGCCAUGCCGCGUGAAUGGUGAAGGUCUUAGGAUUGUAAAAUUCUUUCAGCGGGGACGAUAAUGACGGUACCCGCAGAAGAAGCGCCGGCUAACUUCGUG
rnacentral:rRNA from 1 species